UCCUAUCAGUUGAUCCCAGAGUUCCGUGGGGGCUCAUGCACAGUGGAAUUUCACUGACCAUCUGGUCAAACCCCAACAGUUUCUAAACUGUUUCAAGGUACCCUUUAUUUCAUGCCUGAACAUGCCCCGCUCAUCCCCCUCGCACUAUAUAAGUCCGACCCUCUGAUGGCCAGGUUGUCGGGCACAAGAAACUGGAGUUGGAGAGGUCGUGGUCGAGGAGUGCGUUGGACAAUUCGGGUUGCAUGCAUAGCCAUUACACUUCAUCAUUGCCGUGCGUCACUGAGAAUAAACCACGGUCCAUGGUCUUCAAUCAUUGACGGAUCAUUGUUCAUUUCACAGCUAGUCAAACACGGAUUCAUAUGUGACAAGAAUCCUUUACACGGAUUACUUUCACUUCACCGUCAUUCAUGUUCGUCAUGCCAUUCAAGGCUUGAGUGUGUGUUUCAAUAAAUACAGUGAUUUCAUCUUCAAUGGGACUUGACAUCCACAUCAUUCAUGUUCUGACCGGACAAACCUGUGGCGAUUGUCACUUAUUCAUUACACCAGCAUACAGUCCUUUUGGGUUUCAUUCCAUCAAUAUCCCCCUAUUUUAUACUUAUCAGAUGGGGGAGCUG